ACAGCCACAUCAUGUUGAAACACCAGUUUCCAUACAAUCACCAAAGUUAAGCAGUGUCAAACCUGGUCAGUACUUUGAUGGAUGACUGCUUUGGAAUACCAGGUGCUA